ACAUAACUGAUGCCUCCGCGUAUCGACUUUGUGCGCAUUUUAGCUAUUAUGUGUUCUUUUAAUUAAAAUGAUUCUUUUUAAGAUUCAUCUAUUAAAAAUUUGCUUCGGCAUAAUUUUUUUUGAUGAUCUUGUUACUUUGAGUAAAUUAGAGUGUUCAAAGCAAACAGAUAUAGCAUUUGUGCGUUUGAAUACUACAGCAUGGAAUAACAAAAUUGAACAAGUCAGAAUUUUUUUGUUCUUUUUUCUUAUUUUGGCUUAGUUACGAUUAAUAGGAGUAGCUUGGGGGCAUUUGUAUUCAGAUGUCAGAGGUGAAAUUCUUAGAUUUUCUGGAGACAAACAACUGCGAAAGCAUUUGCCUAAAAUACUUCCAUUAAUCAAGAACGAAAGUUAAGGGAGUGAAGACGAUCAGAUACCGUCGUAAUCUUAACCAUAAACUAUGCCGACUAGGCUUUGGAUGAAAGAUUUUAAAAUAAGAGUUUUUCUUUUCUCUCCGGAGAUUAGAACUCUUAGAUUGCUUCCUUCAGUGCCUUAUGAGAAAUCAAAGUCUUUGGGUUCUGGGGCGAGUAUUCGCGCAAGCGAGAAAGUUAAAAGAAUUGACGGAAGGGCACCACCAGGCGUGGAGCUUGCGGCUUAAUUUGACUCAACACGGGAAAACUCACUAGUUUAAGACAAGAGUAGGAUUGACAGAUUAAUAGCUCUUUCUUGAUUUCUUGGAUGGUGAUGCAUGGCCGUUUUUAGUUCGUGAAUAUGAUUUGUCUGGUUAAUUCCGAUAACGAACGAGAUCUUAACCUGCUAAUUAGCGGCAAAUACGAUAUAUUCUUAUGUAGAAUUGAAUAUAGUGGAUUUGUUGGAUUUUGAAGAAAAUAUUGGAAUUACGUUAAAUGUGAUUCUUUUCCCUUUUCUACUUAAUUUACAUUUCCAUCUAUUUCUUUUUUGCGUAUGAAUGUAUUUGCUUGAUUGUAAAGCUUCUUAGAGGAACGAUGUGUG
rnacentral:rRNA from 1 species